AAAUGUAAGGUACACGAGUAAUAAUAAUAAUAAUGAUGCAAAAAAAAAAAAAAAAAAAAAAAAACGGUGACAAUUAUAAGGAAGAAGCGUAGCAAUAAUAUAAAUAAAAAAUGCGCAAGCGUGUACAUAUAACGAUGUACAAAACAUUUAUGAUGCGUUGCGACGCAUCGCCGUGGUGGCGCAGUGACAAUGAUGGAAGCCAACAGGAUAGAAGAUAGAAAGUGGUAAAAAGCACGACUGACUGGCGCCACAUGAGGGGUGAAAAUUAUCAGAGGUAUAAGGCAAUUGAACUCACCUCAUCCUCGCCAUUAGAGCAUGCUACAGUGUUGACUGAGUCCAUGCUCUGUGAUAGUGGUGCGUCCAUGAUGCAGGAUAAGUCGUUUGAUGAUCCAGCAGGAGGAUUACCACCGCCGGUUGAAGCAGUAGUUGCGACGGUGAUACGAGGAGCGGGUGGCGGGGAUGAGUCCACCGUUUCCCGUCGCGGGCGUUUUAGGGCGGGCGGCGUUAUGGUUGUACCGGCAACGAAGACGACAGGCGCCUCCAGAACUGUAUUCGCACCAAUAAUCUCCCCACCCAAAAAAAAAAAAAUAAUAAUAAA